rnacentral:rRNA from 1 species
GAUGAACGCUGGCGGCGUGCCUAACACAUGCAAGUCGAACGAGAAGCUAACUUCUGAUUCCUUCGGGAUGAUGAGGUUAGCAGAAAGUGGCGAACGGGUGAGUAACGCGUGGGUAAUCUACCCUGUUUUAGUGGGGGAUAACCCUCCGAAAGGAGGGCUAAUACCGCAUAAUAUCUUUAUCCCAAAAGAGGUAAAGAUUAAAGAUGGCCUCUAUACUAUGCUAUCGCUUCAGGAUGAGCCUGCGUCCUAUUAGUUAGUUGGUGGGGUAAUGGCCUACCAAGACCACAAUGGGUAGCCGGUCUGAGAGGAUGUACGGCCACACUGGGACUGAGAUACGGCCCAGACUCCUACGGGAGGCAGCAGUGGGGAAUAUUGCGCAAUGGGGGAAACCCUGACGCAGCGACGCCGCGUGGAUGAUGAAGGCCCUUGGGUUGUAAAAUCCUGUUCUGGGGGAAGAAAGCUUAAAGGUCCAAUAAACCCUUAAGCCUGACGUACCCCAAGAGAAAGCUACCGCUAA